rnacentral:rRNA from 1 species
GAUGAACGCUAGCGGCAGGCUUAAUACAUGCAAGUCGUGGGGCGGCAUGAUGUAGCAAUACAUUGAUGGCGACCGGCAAACGGGUGCGGAACACGUACACAACCUUCCUUUUAGUGGGGAAUAGCCCAGAGAAAUUUGGAUUAAUACCCCAUAACAUAUAGAGAUGGCAUCAUCUUAAUAUUAAAGCUUCGGCGCUAGAAGAUGGGUGUGCGGCUGAUUAGGUAGUUGGCGGGGUAACGGCCCACCAAGCCUACGAUCAGUAGCUGAUGUGAGAGCAUGAUCAGCCACACGGGAACUGAGACACGGGCCCGACUCCUACGGGAGGCAGCAGUAAGGAAUAUUGGACAAUGGACGAAAGUCUGAUCCAGCCAUGCCGCGUGAAGGAUUAAGGUCCUCUGGAUUGUAAACUUCUUUUAUUUGGGACGAAAAAAGAUCAUUCUUGAUCACUUGACGGUACCAGAUGAAUAAGCACCGGCUAACUCCGUGCCAGCAGCCGCCGCGGUAA